AUUGAACGCUGGCGGCAUGCCCUACACAUGCAAGUCGAACGGUAACGCGGGGCAACCUGGCGACGAGUGGCGAACGGGUGAGUAAUGUAUCGGAACGUGCCCAGUUGUGGGGGAUAACUGCUCGAAAGAGCAGCUAAUACCGCAUACGACCUGAGGGUGAAAGCGGGGGAGCGCAAGACCCCGCGCAAUUGGAGCGGCCGAUAUCAGAGUAGGUAGUUGGAGGGGUAAAGGCCCACCAAGCCAACGAUCUGUAGCUGGUCUGAGAGGACGACCAGCCACACUGGGACUGAGACACGGCCCAGACUCCUACGGGAGGCAGCAGUGGGGAAUUUUGGACAAUGGACGCAAGUCUGAUCCAGCCAUGCCGCGUGCGGGAAGAAGGCCUUCGGGUUGUAAACCGCUUUUGUCAGGGAAGAAAAGGGCGACUCUAAUACAGUUGCCUCAUGACGGUACCUGAAGAAUAAGCACCGGCUAACUACGUGCCAGCCGCCGCGGUAACAC
rnacentral:rRNA from 1 species